rnacentral:misc_RNA from 1 species
AAGUCGUAACAAGGUUUCCGUAGGUGAACCUGCGGAAGGAUCAUUAUCGAGUUCAUGCCCUCCGGGGUAGAUCUCCCACCCUGUCUACCUUACUCCUGUUGCUUUGGCGGGUCGACCACUCGGCCACCGGCGUCUAGCUGGUGUGCGCCCGCCAGAAGCCCCAUAAACCUAAUAGUGAACGUGUCGUCCGAGUACCAAAAAAAAAUAGUUAAAACUUUCAACAACGGAUCUCUUGGUUCUG